AGCAGUCGCCGCGGUAAGACGGAGGAUGCAAGCGUUAUCCGAAGUUACUGGGCGUAAAGCGCGCGUAGGCGGCUUCUUAAGUCUGAGGUGAAAGGUUCAACGCUUAACGUGAACAGUGCCUUGGAUACUGGGGAGCUUGAGUAUGGGAGAGGGCAGUGGAAUGGCUGGUGUAGCGGUGAAAUGCGUAGAUAUCAGUCGGAACACCCAUGGCGAAGGCAGCUGCCUGGCCUAAUACUGACGCUGAGGUGCGAAAGCGUGGGGAGCGAACGGGAUUAGAUACCCGGGUAGUCCCUGUCUCUUAUA
rnacentral:rRNA from 1 species